rnacentral:tRNA from 1 species
GCCUCUCUAGUUCAAUGGUAGAGCACCUGUUUUGUAAUCAGGCGACGUGGGUUCGAUUCCUACGAGGGGCUCCA